UACGUAGGGUGCAAGCGUUAAUCGGAAUUACUGGGCGUAAAGCGUGCGCAGGCGGUUAUGUAAGACAGAUGUGAAAUGCCCGGGCUUAACCUGGGAACUGCAUUUGUGACUGCAUGGCUAGAGUUUGGCAGAGGGGGGUAGAAUUCCACGUGUAGCAGUGAAAUGCGUAGAUAUGUGGAGGAACACCGGUGGCGAAGGCGGUUCUCUGGGCAUGUCCUGACGCUGAGGAGCGAAAGUGUGGGGAGCGAACAGG
rnacentral:rRNA from 1 species